AUGGAGAGGGCACAAUUUCACCCGGUGCUUCCCUCCCCACUGGGGCCCCUUGGGGACAGCUGUGUGACAGCACGGUCACAGCUCCAGCGCCCCUGGGUCUGCAUUUCCCUUUCCAGCACGACUUUCUGGGAGCAGGCACCAGGGACAAGGUGGGAUUUGGGUACGAGCCGGGGGGCUUGCAGCUCUCAGCAACCCCACAGAGCCAGGAGAGCGCGUCUGGCUCUGCGUCCUGCCCUCCCACCCCUCCCUGGUGGGUCCCAAAGGGGGCAGGUUGUAGGGGCUGUGCACCCCCGUGUCCCCCAGCCCUCGGGACACCGAGCGGGGCCAGCAGCGGGCGGGGUGCCGCGGUCCCCAGGGUGGCAGCGGGGUGCUCUGGGUGCAGGCAGCACCCGGCCUUUGUGCCUGGGGCUUCGCCGCUGUCACCGCCAGGUCUCCAUCGGGCUGGCAACGUCGUGCUCGUGUUCACCGUGCCCAGUGCCUGGCGCCUCCAGCGUGGGCUCUGUGGGGAAGCCGGCAGGGCCCCCACCCCUGCUGGGGUUCCUGCAGCAGCCUGCGGGCAGCUGGAGGGGCAGGGAUGGGGCUUUCUGUGCCCCGUGCCCAUGUCCCGUGCCCUGUGCCCAUGUCCUGUGCCCCAUUCCCAUCCCCAUGCCCUGUCCCCACGUUCCUGGUGCUGCCCAUUCCCACACCCCAAUCCCAUACUGGUGUCCCUGCCCCAUUCCCAUCCCCAUGCCCAUGUCCUGUGCCUCUGCAUGGUUCCCAUGCCCCAUCCCUAUCCCCAUGCCCCAUCCCCAUCCCCAUGCCCCAUACCCACGUUCCUGGCGGUGCCCAUUCCCAUACUGCUGUCCAUGCCCCCUCCCCAUCCCCAUCCCCAUCCCCAUCCCCAUCCCCAUCCCCAUCCCCAUGGUUGUUCCCCAGCUCCCCCGGCCCUUCCCCAGCCCCCUGCCCGUGCUGGCUGCCGGCCACCAGUUAUCCAAGUGCCGACCAGCAGAGGGGACUGGUGAUCCACAGCAGCCUCCUGCGCCCUCCUCCAGCCCGGGCCGGGCCGCAGGAGCCCCGUGGGUCCCCCCCCAGCCCUGCAGGGUCCCCCCCCGGGCUGCCCGCAGCAGGGUGUGCUGCCUGCCUGCCUGCUGCGCCCCCCGGGCCGUGUUUGGGGCUUUUUGUAGGGUCCAGGCUCGUGUCUGGCCAAAGCUGUGCCUGGGGCUGGUCUUCACAGAAUCAAUCACAGAAUUUCUAGGUUGGAAGAGACCUCAAGAUCAUCGAGUCCAACCUCUGACCUAA
rnacentral:lncRNA from 1 species